rnacentral:lncRNA from 1 species
CUCGGAGAUGCUGCAGCUGGAGGAUUUGAGGGGGUUCGAAAGCGGGGGCAAGAGGGUUUAGCCGGGCACCUCGCGGCGCAGGGCCUUGCCUCGCCAGCUGUGGUUCUAUCUGCGUAUCUGCAUGGGUCUCAUGAAAAGGAGGCGACGCCGCAUCAAACGCGGGACUGCUCUGGCCGCCCUGGAGAGAAGAAACGUCUCUCAGCGGCUGAUGACAGGGAAGAUGCGGCGGCGGCACUGCGGCAGCCGGGGAUGGGGAGAGUGUAGACCGCUGCGGCAAUGGCAACAGAAACAGAACAGGGGCGUUAGAGAGAGAAACUGACGCUGCGAGUAACGGAGCGAACCCCCCAAAUGUGUUGCAGCGGCCUUUCCUCGUUGGCCCCACAAGAGAACACGUAUUGCGAAUGAGAGACAGAAACCCGCAGGAAUGCAAACGGGAGAGUGUAUGCGCCCCUGAACGGACGCACGCGCUCGACGGCACAUGGAAGAUAUGUUCUGUUUUUGUCUUGCCGUGAGUUCGCCCGGGCAUCUACCCCGGUCCCCUCAAAAAGGGAAAGAAGUGGGGAGCUCACACCGCAGUGUCACAUGCUAGGGACCCUUGGGGAUGCGCAGCUACUCCAACAACAAGAUAGUCCGGGCGGCAAAUGCUGCGCCUACAUGUUUUUCUGGGUGGUUCCACUACUCUAACUCGCAUGCCUUUACUGGCAUGUGCAUCGAUUUUUCUUUUUCGAAGUGGACACGCAAGAAAAGCAAGUCUUACCCCUGUCGGGGGUACCCCGAAGUCUGCAACGGGAGCCGGCAAAGGGUUCUGAAACAGGCCAGCGGGACUGCGACAUGCAGCUACAGGCGAGAUACCUGCGGAGCCUCUCUGCGCUGAGGGGGGGCUCGAAUCGCAGUAUACGUCUCUUUCGCACAGUCGCCAUCCAGUCAGAGGUGUUUGUUCUUCCUCGUUCUCACCCCGGAAAGCUUCCGUGUGGCUGACAGAAUUUCGGAGCGCCACUUUCUUGUCUCUCUCUGAACAGCCGUUAGUCGUCUGCCAAACAUGUAGCAGCGUCGGCAGGGUGUAGACAGUCUGGUCGGUUGGAGAAAAGUGUGGGUUGUUUUCGUCGUGUAUACUGUGGUCGUUAUGUUUCAACGACGUGUCCAGCUUCUCAUUGCCUGGAUGUUCUUUGUCCUUUCUCUUUACCUCGUCCAAGGGAGGCUUCUUGCUAUUGGCCGGGGAUAGAACACAUGCCGGUGAGGGCCCUUCGGCUCCGGCGCCGUUCGGCACGCCAGGGUCCGUGAGAAGGGGAGCGGAGAGGACCUCCAUCGAUGAUUUUGUUUUCUUUUCUCUAUCACAAUUUUCAGAAGCCACGAAGAGAUUUGCGUUUUCCGUUCCUUCGGCGGCGCCACUUUGCUUAUUCUUCUGAGGUCCUUCUGUGAUUUUGGAAGAAGGCGGAGCAGUGCCUCUUUCGUGUUGUUCUUGCGGACGACGCCUCGUCCGUUCCGCGGUAUCCUUUCCCACCCGCAGGCUAGGCGAUUCAGAGAGAGUUUCCGGUUCUGCGUCAAUAUACGUGACGUCUUUUGAGGAAUUCGCCGAAAUGGGAGUAGAUUCCUCUUUCGCCACGGUGGCUUCCUCCUCCCCAGUUCCGAUCGUUG